rnacentral:rRNA from 1 species
UACGUAGGGUGCGAGCGUUGUCCGGAAUUACUGGGCGUAAAGAGCUCGUAGGUGGUUUGUCGCGUUGUCCGUGAAAACUCACAACUCAAUUGUGGGCGUGCGGGCGAUACGGGCAGACUGGAGUACUGCAGGGGAGACUGGAAUUCCUGGUGUAGCGGUGGAAUGCGCAGAUAUCAGGAAGAACACCCGUGGCGAAGGCGGCUCUCUGGGACGGUACUGACGCUGAGAUGCGAAAGCGUGGGGAGCGAACAGG